CCAACAUUCAGCCUCCUCUGCCCAUCAGCCUUGCUGACACAGGGAGUGGAGAUUUGUGUAGAGAAAUGACUCAUUCAAAUAUGACUUAAUCUAAACCGUAAGUGUAUGAUUUAUUAAUGUGCCACCAGGCCUUACACCAAGAGAGCCAUUCCAGAGAAAAGUCCUUUUUCUCCUGAGAACAGUGCCAGCAGCUGGCUUCGUGACAUUCUGGAAGCCCCGUGCAAUGCUGUCAGGAGCAUAGGGAUUUUACUUUAUCUCCCUUGCUUAUGCUCCACAUAACUGAAAUAUCUCACUGGAAGCUGCAGCAGUGCUGGCCCCUUGCACAGCCAUAUGUGACCACUGCAGAACAAUCAGUUGGAGAGACAGUUUGGACUACAUGGAGGGUGGAGAUAAGGACAAAGUGAAGAAUACACAGGAACCAGUGCCUCCUCCUGGAACUAUGCAACUCCAAGCUGCUUCCAUCAGCUGCUAGGUCCAGUAGGGAGGGACCUACUGAGAGCAUUGCCAGAAAACUCAUUUCUCAGUGACACCAUUGUAAUUACUCAUUUGAUUAUCCCGCAAUACACAUAUAAGAGUCUCAGGAAAACAGUACCAUCAGCAUUAUAUGGUAAUAUCUACAAGCACUUUAAUAUUUUCUUAUUGGGGGUACACUUUUUUCCAUAGAGAAUAUUUUACUAGGUAAGAACAAUAAUAUUGAUAUGUUUUAAUUUUUCUUGAAGUGGUUCUUCUGUAUGAGGUUAUAUCACCAAGUAGAUAUACAGUUAUAAUGUUUGAUUAUUACACAUUGCUUUUCUUAAAAUUUAAUUUUGUUUUAAAGCUAUUAAAAUCAGGUUUCUUAAAGAAAGAUCCUCAUUCUAUCUGGAUCAAAAUCACUUUCAGAGCUAAUUAAAAAUGUGGUGUCCUGGACUCACGAAGCCAGAAUUGCUGAGGAGAUAGCCCGAGAAUCUGAAUUUUUAGCAGACAUUUUUUUAGGGUGUGGGGAAGAGCGAGAAAAAGAUUUCCGCUCUGGAAGGUAAACAAAUACUCUCUGGAGAGAGAAGAGGAAUGUCCCUAGCAGAUGUCUCCAGAGAAGACAAGACUUUAAAUUCCGCCAGGGAAAUAUACAAUGUCUAACUUCUAAGGCACAUUUGCCAUUCAAUCAUGCUUUAACCCACGUUGCCAGAAAUUUUUGCUCACUAGGUUUUGACUGUACAGGAAUGUGAAAAUAUUCAUGAAGAGUUGUUUUCCAAUGCUAAAGAAUUGAUGUGUUUUAACAGUUGAAUUAAUUGUAUUGAUUAUGAUCACACCUACUUUUUAUAUAUCUUCAUUUCUAACGUUUCUGUACAAUCCUGCCUUUCCACCUGAUAUAGUUAGGCCUUGUGUCAUCAACCAAAUCUCAUCUUGAAUUGUAAUCGCCAUAAUCCCCACGUAUUUAGGGAGAGACCUGGAGGGAGGUGUUUGGAUCAUGGGGGCGGUUUCCCGCAUGCUGUUCUCAUGACCAUGAGAGUAAGUUCUCAAGAGAUCUGAUGGUUUUAUAAGCGUCUGUCAUUUCCACUGCUUGCACUUCUGUGUCCUGCCACCUUGUGAAGAAGGACGUGGUUGCUUCCCCUUCCACCAUGAUUGUGUUUCCUGAGGCCUCCCCAGCCUUGCAGAGCUGUGAGUCAAUUAAACCUCUUUCCUUUAUAAAUUACUCAGUCUCUGUAUUCCUCUGCAGCAGUGUGAGAACAGACUAAUACAUCACCACUUUAUUUACUUUACUCUCUCCCCAUACCGAGGUUUUCUACAUUUUCUUUCUAGGUCUCUACAGUUUCUGCAAAGAUCCUUUAUGGAACUCUUAGGGAAGCUGGGAUGUAUAAUAAAUAAAGGGCUCUUUUCUUUGAGUCCCACACCCAUUUUCUGUGUAUAAAAAUCUUCAACUCCACUUUUGUCUGUUCUAUUUAAAUGUGUGCACAUUUCCUUCUAAUGUUGUAUAUGAAAAAGAGACACCUCUUAGCAGUCUUUCAUAGAGCAAAAUUUUUUACUUUGAUAAAAUCUAAUUUAUCAAUAUUUUUAAAUUUUAUGGAUCAAUCAUGCUUUUGAGGUUGAAUUUAAGAAUGCUUUGCCUAGCCCUAGAUCCCAAGUAUCUUUUAAAAAUUAUUUUUCUAAAUGCAUUAUUUAUGUUUUACACUUAAGUCUAUAAUCCAUUUUGAGUCCAUGUGUAAGAUUUAGGUUAAGGUCAAGAUUUAUCUGUUUUUGUUGUUUUCUCUAUAAAUGUCAAUUGCUCCAGCACUAUUUGUUUAAAAGCCAAUCUUUCCUCCGCUGAGUUCUUCCUAUAAGUUUGUCAAAAGUCAAUUUGGCAUCUUUGUAUAAGUUUAUUUCUGGAUUCUCUAUUCUGUUUUAUUGAUCACUGCAUCUAUCCCUCUUGAUUAGCUAGAUAAUAAAUCCUACAAUAAGGUAGAAUUCUUCCCACUUUAUUCAUAUUCAAAAUAUUUUAAAGCUAUUCUAGUUUCUUUUUAUUUCCAUAUAUAUUUUAGGAUAAUCUUAUCUAUAUUUACAACAUAUGUUGCUAGGAUUUUGAUAGAAUUUGUUUUAAAUUUGUGUAUCAAUGUAGGGAAGACCUGACAUCUUUACUAUUACGUUGAUCUUCCAAUCAAUGAAUAUGGUAUAUCUCUCAGUUUAUAGCUAUUGUCUUUAAUUUAUUUCAUCAUGGUUUUUAGUUUUCAGCAGAGAAGCUUUAUACAUGUUUUGUUAUACAUGUAUAACAAAAGAAGCCUUAUACACUGACAUUUUAUAUUUUGAACAAUUGUAAAUGGUAUUGUUUAAAAAUUUUGUUGUCUAUGAUAGAAAUAAAAUUGAUUUUUGUAGGUUUAUCUUGUAACCUAUGACUUGCUGAGCUCGCUCAUUAGUUUUUUUAUUGUGAUAAAAUAUACAUGAGAUAAAUUUCAUCAUUAUAAUCAUUAAGUUUAGACAUCAAUUGCAUUAAGUACAUAAAUGCCUUAUGCAACCAUCAUCUCUAUCCAUCUCCAGACCCUUUGCAUCACCCUAAAAUGAAACUCUGUGCCCAUUAAACAAUAACUCCCCAUUCUGCCCUCACCCCAGCCCUUGGUAAUUACCAUCCUACCUUUUAUCUCUAUAAAUUUAACCAUCCCAGGUAACUCAUAUAAGUGGAAUCAUGCAGUGUUUGUCCUUUUGUAACUGGUUUAUUUCACUUAGCAUGAUGUCUUCAAGGUUUGCCUAUGUCAUAGCAUGUGUCAGAAUUUCAUCCCUUUUUAAACUUAAAUAAUAUUCCACUGUAGGCAUAUGCCACAUUUUGUUUAUUUGUUCAUCUGUUGAUGGGCAUUUGGGUUGUUUCCACCUUUUGGCUACUGUGAAUAAUGCUGCUGUGAUCAUGGGUAUGCAACUGUCUCCUGGAGUCCCUGCUAUCAAUUCUUGUGGGUAUAUACCCAGAAGUGGAAUUGUUGCAACAUAUAGUAAUUCUAUGUUUAAUUUUUUGAGGACCUGCCAUAAUGUUUUCCACAGUAGCUACAUUGUCUUAUAUUCCCAUUAAGAGUUCCAAUUUCCUCACAUCUUCACCAAUACUUAUUGUUUUCUGUUUUUUUAAAUAAUAGCCAUCAUAAUAAAAGUAACAUGGUAUCUCAUUGUGGUUUUAACUGCAUUUCCCUUUUUACUGGAUUGUUUGUAAUAUUGCUGUAAUUGAGUUGUAGGAGUUUUUAAAUAUGUUCUGAAUAAUUAAUUUCUUAUCAGAUAUGUCAUUUGCAAAUAUUUUCUGCCAUUCUCUGGGUUGUCAUUUCACUCUCUUGAUAGUGUCCUUUGAUGCACAGAAGUUUUGAAAUUUGAUAAAGUUUAAUUUGCGUAUGUAUUUAUUUUGUUGCUUAUGCUUUUGGUGUCAUAUCCAAGAAAUUAUUGCCAAAUUCAGUGUCAUGAAGAUUUUCCCCUGUGUUUUCCUCUAAGAGUAUUAUAGUUUUAACUCUUGCACUUAGAUUGAUCCGCUUUGAGUUAAUUUUAGUAUAUGGGGUAAGACAAGGGCUCAAAUUUGUUCUUUUGUUUGAAGAUUCUAGGUCAUUUGUGAUCUUUAGGAUUUUCUAUGUAGACAUUAAUGUCAUCUUCAAAUAUGAACAGUUUAUUUCUUCCUUUUGUAUAUGUAUGAAUUUACUUUCCUUUUCUUGCCUUAUUGCACUGGCUAGAGUUUUCAGUACUAUGAUGAAUAAAAUCAGUGAGAGCAGACACCCUUGCUUUGUUUCUAAUCUUAGGAGGAAAGCUUUCAGUCUUUCAUCAUUAGGUAUACUGUUAGUUGUAGGCUUAUUAUAGAUGCUCUUUAUCAGGUUGAGGCAGUUUCCUCCUUGGUUAAGACUUUCUAUUUUUCAUUUUCAGUUAUGACCAGGCAUGUUCAUAACUGCUCAUCAAAACUUUGAAUUAGUGGCUGCUUUAACAUCCUUCUCAGACAAUUCUAACAUCUGUUUUGUUGGUGGUGGCAUCUAUCAAUUGUCUUUUUCAUUCUGUUUGAGAUCUUCCUUGCGUUUGGUAUGAUUUUUUUAAAUAUUAUGUCAUGAAACUGCAUCUUAUUUAAAUCUUCUGUUUUAGUUGGCUAUGUCUGACAUCACUUCCCCAGGGGAAGGUGUUGUUACUGCUAGUGGAGGGUGAGAAUUAUGGCUCUCCACUGACAUUGUGGUGGGAUUGGUCCCAUUACCACUGGGCAGGGUUGAAAGUCCUGACUUUCUGCUAGGCCUUCUCUGACUUCAUCGCAGCAGGAGGAAAAGAUGCCUCUGGAGUUGAAGUCAGGUUGCACUGACACUGUGUGUGUAUGGAGGUAGGCUGGGGUGAAAGUGGAGACUCAUUACCACAUGGUGAGUAGUUUCCAGCUCUCUAUUUGGCCUUCUCUGAUACCACCCAGACAGGGACAUUGGGGAUACCUCAUUACAGCCUAGUGAGGGUCAAACUCUAGGCUCCCCACUCAGUCUUUGCUAUCAUGGACACUGUAGGACCAUAGUUUUUUCUGUGCUGUUUGCUUGAUGUGUCUUCCUUGGACCCUGAGUUCCAUAGCUGGUCUGCAUUCCUCUCUCCACCUUUAAGACGUCUUCUUAUGUUUAUUUCAUAUUUAACAUCCAGGGUGGUAAUUAGAGGGAAGAAUAGAGGGAAAAGUACAGUUGCACUUUGUUGUUCAAAGAGCAGUUUUGAACUGCACAGACCCAUUUCUCUGAGCACACCCAGGGAUGAUUGUACUUGUAUAAAAUUUUUUUCCUGGAUGCAGAAUUCUCAAUUGACUGUGAAAGUUCAUAACAAAGAAAACAGUGGGGAAGACAAAUCUGGAAAUGAGGAAAAUAAAAAUUAAAUAGUGAGACCACCCAUGGAGCUUGUGGCAAAGCCUGAAUUGAAUCCGCUGUAUCUUAAGAUUGUGCCUCAUUCUAAAUUUAAGUCACCCUUCUCAUUAUGAAAGUGUCACAACUUCUCAGUAGGUGAGGAGACAGUCUAAAUUUGAGAAAAGAAAGUUACAACAAAGGUUUUGAGCAAGCUGCUAAGUGGAUUUAUUCAUGUUUGAGAAAUCAAAUAUAUGGUUAAUGAGCUCUUUAACUAGAAGCCAACACUAGGGAGGAGUAGACAGAAGUCACGGGGAGGGAGCCCCCGGACAUUUCAAAAGACUUUGCCCUGCAACAUCUCCUCCACAUUUAAGCUUUUAGGUUAUUGUAGCCACAUCACAAGCAUGUUACCUACCCAGAUAUUGUCUGCGCAUCAUUCCCAAAAGCUUCCCUGGGUCUUCAUAAUAUUAAUGAGAUUCUCCCCCAGGUUAGACCCCUUUGGCUUGAGUCAGAAACAGAAUUAAUCCGGGGGACAAUCCAGCAGCACCCAUCUCUGGGUUGCAGAAAUAUCUGAGGUGACCAGGCAGUGUUUGGAGUCCCCUCAGUUAGCUAACAAAGUGAGUUCACAGCUUCCAAGACCCCAGGCUUUCCAGGCUAAUAAAGAGCUGAGGUUAUAGGCUCUCCUUAUCAAACGCUCUUUGGCAGCUGCCAUAACCAUUCCAAGUCUAGUCCUAGAAUAGAAAUGACGCGGUUUCAGGAGCUGACAGAUGGAACUUUAAGCCUUCCUUCCUGCCACAUCUGAAGUUCUUUUUUAAAAAAAUAGAAAACCAUGACAAUAAACACUCCUUGAAUGCCCUGUGGAAAAGUGUACUCCUCAGAAUUCACUAAAGUGGGGUGAAGCAGUGGGUUGUGGUGCUGAGAAAACAUCUCUUCCCCUCGGCAGUAUAUUGGAAUCUCAUAGAAACUUCUGUGGCUGGGAAGCAAACAUGCUCUCUGCCCCAUUGCUCUUAUUCAUCUUUAGACCUGAUAAUACAGUUUGAACUUCAAGUUGCACUUUAAAUGGCAUGCAUUUUUA
rnacentral:lncRNA from 1 species